UGUUAAAUGGUGGUUAUUAUAUGAGCAAUUGACCUUACGACAGGAUUUGAUUGACAGGUCCUAUCAGCCAAUCAGAAUGUAGGGCUGAUAAGCCGUGUUGCUAUCCGCCAUUUUGUCCGUCAAACUGACCAGAGUCCGUCAUAUACAUGCGCUGGCAAUUCCUCGCCUUUUUAAGUAUUAUGGUAAAAAGGUGUUGUCAUGGCACUUGUAAUUCGGAUACAAGGUAGCCAGGCCGACUAAAGAUGGCUUACAAUUCGUUCUGUAUUCGAAACCAGUGAGUUAUUUAGAAAAAUGCAAGUGCUGUAUCAGACUCUGUGGAAGACCUCAUCAACAGCUGAACUUGGAAAUUUUGAAAGAUCGUUCAAAGGCGAAACAUCUAUACGUCUGUACAAAAGUAUUUUUUUGAACAAAACUACUUAUUUCAAUCCGCUCAAAAUUUAUUUAAUACUGAAAUUGUCCGUGCAUGACCUAAAUAAGUGUUACUAUUUUUAAACUAUAAACAUCGUACAUUUAUGCUUUGGCUUGUGUUGUCAAAUCGGCAUUAAUGGCCAUUUAAUAUCAGGUUCAACAUGGACACGAUUGAUUUCAUUCAAGAUAGAGCACUUUGUCGACGGGAAAUCCAAUCAAGAAAACAUUGACCCUCAAGCAGCUACUGUAUUUGACCAGCUCACACCAGCUAGGCCUCCUCCAAAACUCAGAUAAAUAUUUGAGCCACCAAAACAAAACGAGAACAGAUCGGUCUGAAUCGUUAAGAACUGAAGCUAACAUCAUAGAGGUACAUCCUUCCAAGAAUCCAUCAAAACAACAUGCUGAACAACUUCAAGAACUCUCUUCAAAAGACCACACUUUCCUGAAAUAAAUAAAAGAUGCCAAUAUUAAAAUAAAUCAGUUACAUGUAUUGUUAAAUAUUUUAAUACUAGCUGUAAAUGCUACUGCCUUUGAUGUUUGCUUUCUACAUGUAUAUCAUAAUGAAAUAUUGACAAGAUACUAGCUAAUGUUUUGUGGUUGUUGUUUUUCUCUGGACAAAUAGUCCAUUACUUUUGUACAGCAAAGUAAAAACUAAAUGUUAUAAAAAGCUU